rfam:Flavobacteriaceae bacterium TMED145 19131, whole genome shotgun sequence.
GCAGUGUGAAUCGUCUUGUCGCUAUUAUAUAGAGGAAAGUCCGAACACCACAGUACAGCACAAUGGUUAACGGCCAUCAACUGAAAGGUUAGGAAAAGUGCAACAGAAAGAAUGUACAGGUAAUGCUGUAGUGAAAUCAUGUAAACUCUGUGCGGUGAAAUGCCAUGUAAACCAGCUUUUGAGAAUUGUACGUUCAAUGUUGGAGGGUAGGCAGCUAGAAUAUAUAGGUAACUAUAUAUCAAGAUAAAUGACAAGAACUUUUAAAAAAGUACAGAAUUCGGCUUAUAGAUUCACUGAAAAG